GUGGGGGAGGUGGGGAGGCGAAGUUAAUCAGGGAAAGCCCACUCUAACAGACCAAGCCUCAUUUUCACAGCUGCUAGAAAGUUGUGGAGUAAGGCUGUCUGAGCUAAGACAGAGAAACUGCUUUGAGAUCUUCACAUUAAAGAUACUGUAUACAACAGGACAAAGAACCACUGGCUAACCAUUCAUCUUGGGUUUUCAAAGGACCAGGGCAGAGUUUGGCCUUCCGGCAGGCACCGUGUCCCAGUUUAAAAAUGGGGGGAGGGGAUGGACCCCAGAAGGUGUGUGUAUGUGUGUGUGUGGGGGGGAUGUCCAGUUUCGUGGCACCCUUGUUAGGUCCUAGGCCACUUCUGGAUUCUUCUCUCUCCCCUCUCUCCCCCCCGGCCCCGCCGGUGAGGGUUCAGCAGAAGAAGCAGACCUACGAGCCGACAAGCAACAGCAGCCUCAGCCCAGGUCGGGAAGAAAGCAGGAAAGUACAGCCCUGCCCCCAACUCCGUGCCUCCGUUCAGCCUCCCCUAGAGUCUGCCGGGGCGGUAAACCCAGAACUAGAUCGGGACGCCAGCCUGCUGUUAGGGGGGUUGCUACGGCCACCUUUCCCGACGUUCACCUGGGCAUCGCACCCGGUGGACGCUUGUACGAGAAUCGUGCUAUUUCAAAGGAGUCCAAUAUAUUUAUGGAAAUACAGCAUUCAGACUAUGCUGCUAAACUGUGUUUGCGGUCACAUGUGAUGGUCAAGGAUCAUUUUUCUGUUCAGAAAAACAUGCCCCCCGCUUAAGCAUUUCCCAUGCUAAUCUCUGGGCAAUCGCCAAAUAUUCAUCUGGACCUUAAACAGGUGAGAAAAAAGCUAACGAUUCACCCUCUAAAAGGGUAGAAUGCAGAUUCUUGGUCCCGAAGUCUGGGCCUCCUCCAUUUUUCUCCGUGAUAGACUCUAACAUCCUCCUCCUUCUCUUUAGCCUUUCAGGACUUUAGAGCCCUUAAUGACUAAUCACUUCUGGUUCCCUCAGUGGUUCUAGAACUUUGGAAGAAGAAAUGCAGAGUGCCCUCUCUCUCCCUUCCCUCCCUCCUACCCCCGUCCAUGUUACGCACUUGAUUUUCCCCUCCCGAGUAGGUUUUGGUCCCUUGGGUAACCACAGAGAGACUUCGGGGUUUCCAAAGCCCACGAGAACCAAGACCUGAUAUCUGGCACAUGUUUUAGAACGCACCCGCUCCGGGAAGCGCCACCCGUGUUUGAUAAACUGUUGAGAGCUUCCUAUUAUUAGGCUGGAGAUUUUAUUAAGAAAAAUCUCAUAAAAUAGCUAUCAAUUAUUUAGGCCCUUUUAAAUAUUAAUCAAUAUGUAAAUUAAUAAUUAACGCUUUGCUAUGAGGCGAUGCCAUUUUGAGGUGCUGUCUGAAAGGCAAAAUUCUUUUCUCGUUUCAAGGCGACUACCGUUUAACCGACCGUUUGGAAGGGUGAACGCUGCAAGCGAAAGCAAAAGGUUUCUCAAUUUGGGAGACACGUUUGCUGCAGGGGGACACAGUGUUUGUUCCAAACCCUGAUGGUCUUUGCCAAUGACAACGUUCCACUUUCGAAGUCUCCUCUGAGGAGCUCCUCGAUGUUUUGGGGGGAUUUCGUAGAAUGGACUCAGAAAUACCUGGACCGCACUUCCUUUAAAUCACCUGUUUCUUUUAAGAUUCUGGAAAAACACAUCCCCAUUGUCAGGGAAAAUAGUUUGAGAUGACUGACGCUUCUAAAUAGGGUUCAAAAUUCCCAAUUUAGUGAGAAUAAACGUAUCUUUCUUUUAACUUUGCCCUAACCUCCUUCUGCAAGCAUAGAAUAGACACCGAAGCCAUAACUUCAGAAACACCACUAAACGGACUGUGGUUCCACUCAGCAUGGUAAUGGGCCACCAUGAUGGUGAGCGAGCAGUUAUCCAAGCCAUCACUUCCUGUAGGCAGCUUAAACGGACCACGGUUCCACUGUGCCUAGGCCGCCUGUUGUGCUGUACUCUCCCAUGUGCUUAGCAGAGCGCUCUGCACACAGUAAAGCGCUCCAUAAACACCUCUGAUGGAUUGAUAGAUUCCGUUGGAACUGACCACAGUAACGGUGAUGGGCGAGCAGUAUGACAGUCACAUCACCAAACCCUACAGCAAGUGAGAGUGACUCAAGGUGCCAAGCAUAAAAGAUUCAACUUGACAAGCCCCACGGAUCAUUUCACCCCACUGGCCCCAAGAGUCCGGUCAUCAUUUUAAAUCCUCCACCAAAGUGGAGAUGAACUACCUCAAGCUCAUCUUCAAGGGUUAAAGACAGCUGAAGACCAAACGGUACUUACUUGUUCUGUCGGUUGUAUUGUGGAUGGUCACUAUGGGGACUCUUGGUCCUGAAGAGGGAGAAGAAAAAAAGAAAGAAGACAGUUAGGGAAAAGUAUGAAUGCACUUUAGACCCAUCUGUGGGGUCAGAGACUCCUGAGAAUAACACCGCAUGGAAAAGCAACCUACGUCGUGACUAGAUAUUAAUGACAACCACUGAGGAAAUGACAGUCGGGGCUGGGAAGAGCCACGUGAGGUGGAACGCUUUUCCCCAGCGGCCCAUUAAGUGCCCGUCUUUCUAAUCUGUAAAUGUUUUAAUUAGGACAAACACAAUUAAAAUCACUUGCUUAUAGAUUA